UCACUUACCUGGACGGGGUUGAUGGACGAUCAAGAAGGCUCAUGGCUUAGGUUGGUGACCUCCAUUGCGCUUGGGAGGGGUGCCUGCCUAUGGUCUCCCCAAGUGGGAGAGCCAAAAUCAUAAUUUGUGGCUGUGGGAAAAAAAAAAGGGUUUAUAUCACAC